UUCUUUCUUCCUAUUUCUCGCCUCUCUUUCUCGCUUAAAUCUUUGUCCUUCUUCUCGGAUCGAUCGGUCGGUAGGUGGCGGCGAUGGCGGGAGCAAGGGAGGAGAACGUGUACAUGGCGAAGCUGGCGGAGCAGGCGGAGCGGUACGAGGAGAUGGUGGAGUUCAUGGAGAAGGUCGCCGGGGCGGCGGUGGAGGGGGAGGAGCUCACGGUGGAGGAGCGCAACCUCCUCUCGGUGGCUUACAAGAACGUCAUCGGCGCCCGCCGCGCCUCGUGGCGGAUCGUGUCGUCGAUCGAGCAGAAGGAGGAGAGCCGCGGCAACGAGGACCACGUCGCCGCCAUCCGCGACUAUCGGGCCAAGAUCGAGACCGAGCUCACCGACAUCUGCAAGGGGAUCCUCAAGCUCCUCGAAGUCAGCCUCAUCCCCUCCGCGUCCGCCGCUGAGUCCAAGGUCUUCUACCUCAAGAUGACGGGCGACUACCAUCGCUACCUCGCCGAGUUCAAGACCGGCUCCGACCGCAAGGAUGCCGCCGAGAGCACCCUCUCCGCCUACAAGUCCGCCCAGGUAUCCAGUCUCUCCUUCUCUCUCUCUGUGAUCCGAUCUGAUCCCAUCGGAUUUGUGCUAGGGUUAGUAUUUGGGAUCGGCGCCAAGAUCCAACUUUUUGAUCUUUUGUCGUAUUAUUCUUCAUU
rnacentral:lncRNA from 1 species